rnacentral:rRNA from 1 species
UUUUUUUUUUUCUCCUUUUUGUGUAGUUAAUACUCUAUUAAAUUUAUUUACUUGGUAUUAUAACGAUUAUGCAAGAAGGGAGAGAACAAAGAAUAAUGAAAGAGAGUUUUUAAAUAAAUUCUUUUUUCAUUUUUUCAAUCAAUGAUCUGAAGUCAAGUGGGAUUACCCGCUGAACUUAA